rnacentral:rRNA from 1 species
CGGUGUCUUCGGACAUAGUGGCGCACGGGUGCGUAACACGUAUGCAACCUACCUUACAUUGGGGGAUAGCCUUUCGAAAGGGAGAUUAAUACCGCAUAAGACAGUAACUAGGCAUCUAGUAGCUGUUAAAGAUUUAUCGAUGUAAGCUGGGCAUGCGACCAAUUAGCUAGUUGGUGAGGUAAUGGCUCACCAAGGCUAUGAUUGGUAGGGGAACUGAGAGGUCAAUCCCCCACACUGGCACUGAGAUACGGGCCAGACUCCUACGGGAGGCAGCAGUAGGGAAUAUUGGGCAAUGGACGCAAGUCUGACCCAGCCAUGCCGCGUGCAGGAUGAAGGCGUUAUGCGUUGUAAACUGCUUUUAUACAGGAAGAAACGACUCUUGCGAGAGGCAUUGACGGUACUGUAUGAAUAAGCACCGGCUAACUCCGUGCCAGCAGCCGCGGUAAUACGGAGGGUGCAAGCGUUGUCCGGAUUUAUUGGGUUUAAAGGGUGCGCAGGUGGUUUAUUAAGU